rnacentral:lncRNA from 1 species
UACUUAAAAAAAAAAAAAAAAAACAUUGGCCAGGAUUGUGUGUGUGUGUGUGUGUGUGUGUGUCUCUGUGUGUGUGUGUGUGUGUGUGUGUGUCUCUGUGUGUGUGUGUGUGUGUGUGUGUGUCUCUGUGUGUGUGUCUCUGUGUGUGUGUGUGUGUCUGUCUGUUUUUGACCCCCCCCAAAAAAUUACAAUCACUUCACCAGGAUUGUCUGUCUGUCUGUCUGUCUGUCUGUCUGUCUGUCUGUCUGUCUGUCUCUGUUUUUGACCCCCCCAAAAAAUACAAUCACUUCACCAGGAUUGUCUGUCUGUCUGUCUGUCUGUCUGUCUGUCUGUCUGUCUGUCUGUCUGUCUCUGUUUUUGACCCCCCCAAAAAAUACAAUCACUUCACCAGGAUUGUCUGUCUGUCUGUCUGUCUGUCUGUCUGUCUGUCUGUCUGUCUGUCUGUCUCUGUUUUUGACCCCCCCCCAAAAAAUACAAUCACUUCACCAGGAUUGUCUGUCUGUCUGUCUGUCUGUCUGUCUGUCUGUCUUUGAAUUUUUACCCACAGCCCUCAAACUUGGAAGAGUGGGUUCGGGAACCACCCGCGGGCACCCGGCCUAGAGUGCACAGUGUGUGUCUCGGGCCCCGACCUCUGACUUCCAUACGACUCUGGUUUCUCUUCAUUACGCACAAGCCUUUCGCCUUUUACUAAAGACUUCCGUGGAGAGGAACACUUACGAGUUCAACAUAUUUUUGGAAGGGCUUUGCUUCUGGCAGAGCCCGGUAUCUUGUUUCAAGAGAAAUUGACAGAGAUGACGCCGAGACUUUUUGCUCAGGCGUUUGACUUGAAGCCGGCUGACCGACCGACCGACCGACCGACCGACCGACCGGCGUAUUUUUCCACUCAAAGUAGUCGCUCGGGCAAUUGAGUUCAAGCCCGACGACGACUGACGUGUUUUCCGGGCUUUGAACAAAUAGUCGCACUAGGCUUAAAGAGCUAGUGACUUAAAGACGCAUUAGCGACUUGUUAAAAAAAACACCCGCCUGUCACCAGGGAAACGUCGGGUGGGGAGGAGACAACUUUUGCCAAACCGCUGAGGUCUGCCGAGACCCCCGGGGGCCCGGCGGGUGCAGGGGUCAAUUUGUGGGUUAUCGCUUCUCGGCCUUUUGGCUCAGAUCAAGUGUAGUUACCUUGCCAGUGCUGCACUUGAUCAGAGAAGCGAUCACAGGCCGGAGGGCGCCCGGGAAAAUUGUGCUAUUUAUUUUUGUUAAAAUCAUCAUUUAUUGUCAUUAUUGUUGUUUUUUGUCUCACCUUUGUUUAUUCUUUGUCCUGGGUUAGGUGGUGGUCUUGGUGGUGGACUACAGGUGCACCAGCACCUGUAGGGUGAGUUUAAAGGCCCUCUGGUCCUUUUUCUUUAGUUAUUACAUUUAUUUUGUGUUUUCC